UUCAUGGAAUUAGCAGUUAUUGGUUCAUUAAACUAAAUUACUAGAGCUAUUAUCUAAAAUAUCUGAACACUCCAUCUCACUUACUUCCUCUCUACAAAACGACUUUAAAAAAAAAAAAUUAAAAAAGGGAAAAAAUCCUUCCAGGAUACUAGUCCAGAAUCAAUUUUGAAUCAGAAUGGAAGUCAAAUUUAACAUUUUUAAAUAUUAAAAAAAAAAAAAACAUAAAGAUCACUAAUUGCAUGAUGCAAAGCUGGAAGGAAAAUAUUAUGCUGGUGCUAUCAACCCUUGGCUAUGUAAAAUUAAUUUCUAAUCAGCCGCAGCAUGUUCACAGAGAAGCUAACCUGUCUGCAACACUGUUUCAAUGCUUGCAGGAGGUACUCAUAACCAACUAACCAUCUAUCAAGCACUGAAACAGCAAGAAAGCACUGUAGUCUGUACACAUUUGAAGGUUAGAUAACUAAAAAUCUGUUAUUACAGCAUGGUUGGAGCAAUAUCACAUAUUGUACUAGGAUGAUCCCUUAAUAUAAGACUUUAGUCCAAUAGUUUAGAAAUAGACCGUUGACAUGCUGUAUAGGGCUAAAUGCAGUCAUGUUUUGAGGUUUACAGAACAUUCACAGUUGAACUGAGUUACCAGGUCCCCUUUUUCUCGCUCUUCAACUGAUUCUGUUUUAAGAAUCAAUAGAGAGCAACCAAGGAUCCUAAUGAGAAAAAUGACCUGCUUUCUUAAUGAUGGAGUUUCAUGAAUACUGGAGACCCCCACUGGGAUUAGCUGCUGCUGCUGCUGCUGUUCAAAUCACUGCUGGCAGAGGAAAGGGUUGAUGGGAACGCAAGAAGACACACUAAGGACAAGGCAAAUAGCAGGAGUUUUCAUCAUGUGCUACUAAUAAGAAUGGCUGCAUCAACGAUGAACAGAUAGAUGGCAUUACAAAGAUGGCUCCAGUUGUAGCUCUGUAUGCCGGAAAACCAGAAAUGUUGGAGAAAGUUGAGGAGAUAAUUCGAGUCACACAGAACAGUGAUACCUGUGACAGAGACAUUGGCUGCUGCAAGACUCCUGGAAUAUUACAUCCUGCAUGGUACAGAUGAGAAGGCUCUGGAUAGUGUGAUAGAGCAGCUCAUGGACAAGAAUAGAAUGAACCCUCAGGAUCUAGACAGAGCUGUGGUUGGGCACUUACAGCAAGUGAAGGCCAACCUCAUGAAGUCACAAAAAGAGGCGAUACCUGCAGUGUUCACAAACACAUGAGCCUUGCCCGCUGCAUUCCAGGCAGUGCUACCUGUAGUCCUGACUGAAAGCGUGUUCGAUUAGGCCGUCCAUAACACCGCUAAAGUACAUGGAUCCUAAUGUACACUUGGUCCUAACUGAAAUACUCCAUUAUUUCAGAAAUACUCUUUUUAUUUUCUCAGUGUACUAGUAUUUUUUCUCAGUAUAAUGCUACAUUUGCAGUUUGAUAUGAAUAGUUAAUGAAAGGUCACACUCACAGAUUAGAAGGUGGGAACUUGAUGUACAACUUCAAUUUAAGCUGUAUUAUGUAGCCUUAACUGCAUGGAAUUGAUCAGCAUUGGGAUUAUCGGUUACAAUUUUCACCUUAUCUGGCCUUUUUUCUCUUUUUCACAAAUCAAAAUAAUAAAACAUGAAUGUUGUGUCUGUUGUUUUAAUUGAUGCUGCUUGUGGAAGAGCUGUGUUUGCAGGUUGACAAAACAGUCCAAAUGGGUGGCAGAAAGUUGGGUAAUAAAGGUGUGGAGUAGCCAUACAUUUGAAGUUUGGUUAGCAAAACACAACUAGCAGUAUUUCUAAAUCACUCUGUUGUUCAUACUAAAUCAGAUUACUACAAACCUACUUGAGACAUUUCCUUUUGAAAAGCAAAAUCAUGUUCACCACAUUACCAAAAGACAGCAAUUGUUUUUGGCCAAUCAUGUGACAACUUUGGACAGCUGCUAAAAAUCAACACUGUUAUUCAUAAACACUUACAGACCAUGUGCUUUCUCAUAACACCACCAAUAGGGUGAAGGAAUUGUUUUUGUUGUGUGUACUGGGCUUUAAACUCAUUAGUACUUCAAAAUCAUGCCUUGUUCUGGUUCAUCCAGAAAUAUAGGUGGUGUUGCCCUUCUGGUCCUUAGUGAUACAAUCAGUAAAUACAUGCAUUGUUAUUACAAAAUGAUAAGCAGCUAAAUU